GCGUCGGUGGUGCAACGGUUCAGCACACGUUCCCGGAAAGAAUGAGGUCCGGGUUUGAAUCCAGGCUGAAGCA